rnacentral:rRNA from 1 species
AAGCAUAUCAAUAAGCGGAGGAAAAGAAACUAACAAGGAUUCCCCUAGUAACUGCGAGUGAACCGGGAAAAGCUCAAAUUUUGAAUCUGGCAGUCUUUUAUGGCUGUCCGAGUUGUAAUCUAGAGAAGUGUUUUCCGCGCUGGACCGUGUAUAAGUUUCCUGGAAAGGAACGUCAUAGAGGGUGAAAAUCCCGUCUUUGACACGGACUCCCAGGGCUAUGUGAUGCGCUCUCGACGAGUCGAGUUGUUUGGGAAUGCAGCUCAAAUAGGGUGGUAAAUUCCAUCUAAAGCUAAAUACAGGCGAGAGACCGAUAGCGAACAAGUACCGUGAGGGAAAGAUGAAAAGAACUUUGGAAAGAGAGUUAAACAGUAUGUGAAAUUGCUGAAAGGGAAACGUUUGAGGUCAGUCGUGUCUGCCGGGGAUCAGCUUUGCUUUACUGCGAGGCGUAUUUCCUGGUGUGAUGGGUCAGUAUCAGUUUUGGCUGUUGGAAAAGGGCGGGGGUAAUGUGGCACUCUUUCGGGGGUGUGUUAUAGACUCUUGCUUUGAAUACGAUGGCUGGGAUUGAGGAACUCAGUGUGAGCCCUUUGGGUUUCGGGGCUUCGGCUCACGUUUAUCAUGCUUAGGAUACUGGCAUAAUGGCCUUAAGCGACCCGUCUUGAAACACGGACCAAGGAGUCUAACAUGCAU